UAGGGGGCAAGCGUUAUCCGGAAUUAUUGGGUGUAAAGGGUGCGUAGACGGGUGUUUAAGUUGGUUGUGAAAUCCCUCGGCUCAACUGAGGAACUGCAACCAAAACUGGAUAUCUUGAGUGUCGGAGAGGAAAGUGGAAUUCCUAGUGUAGCGGUGAAAUGCGUAGAUAUUAGGAGGAACACCAGUGGCGAAGGCGACUUUCUGGACGAUAACUGACGUUGAGGCACGAAAGUGUGGGGAGCAAA
rnacentral:rRNA from 1 species